rnacentral:hammerhead_ribozyme from 1 species
AUCCAGCUGAAGAUGUCCAAAUGGGACGAAACGCGCUUCCUGGAU